rnacentral:lncRNA from 1 species
UGAGAAUAUACCGGGGAAUGUGGCAAGCUCUCAACAUGUCUUCCAAGAGGGCGCAGUGAAAUGUGCCCCCAGAGAAGAGAGCUGGGAGGGUGAGUCAGGUUAGGAAUUAUUUUAGGAGUUUUCAGUUUCAAAUGUCAGAGAUCCAACUCAAACUUAAUUAAGCAAAAGAAAAGAGAAGUUAUUUGCUCGCAUACCUGAAGUCCAGCGGGACUGCUGGCUUUAGUCUCAGAUGCAUCAGGGACCCAAACAAGUGCUCAGGGGGCUUCCUCUGCGUUGGCUACAUUCUCAGGCAGCUUCUCCCCACAGAGUAGUGGAUGCUGUCCAACAGAUAAACAUGGUCUUCAGCCACUGCCUCUUCCCUUAUCACACCAGUGAAAUCCCAACCCCAACCAUCCACUGUGGUUAGUGGGGAGGCAUCUCUGAUCGGCCAGGCCUGCAUCCCGGGCCCGCUUAUGGUGGACAGCACUCACCAGAACCACAUGUUGGCAAGUAAGGAAAUGGUUUUUCAAAGGAAAACUAAUGCUGUCAUCAAGAGAAGGAGGGCCGGUACUGGACAGGAAUGUCCAUGUCAGGCACCUCCAUCCCAUCCCCAGAAGCUUCCUGCUCUCAUGCUGUCUACUGGAUUCCCACCCAAGUUGGCCCUGUAAGCACAGUGUCCCUGCUGCAAAAUUAGUCUUCUUGUUUCUCAUCAAAAUGUCCAGCCUACUACCAACAGUACAGAUGUAAACUAGCACUGUGAAUGUCGGAAUUUGAAAAGCUGAGCCCUGUUGGAGGAACUAUAAACUGAAUUAUAAAGUCUGUACCAUGCAUUUUUAAUCAUUUUUAAUUUAUUGGCUUCUGCGCUCACUCUUUUUUUUUUUUUUUUUUAAAGCAGGCUCCAUGCCUAGUGAGGAAUCCAGCACGAGGCUUGAACUCCGGACCCUGAGAUCAAGACCUGAGCUGAAAUCAAGAGUCAGCUGCUUCACCCACUGAGCCCCCCAGGUGCCCCUGUGCUUACUCUUAAAUGUGCCUUGAUUAAUCUUGUCUCGUAUAAUCAGUCUAUUAGAAACUUCAGGUAGGAGAUACGAUCUGCUGAGUCCUCUACAAAACUUGGUAUUUCAGUAAUAGGAGAUUAGUCUAGUAAGGUGAGUGAGUUCUGUUCCUGAACUAGUUUGUUCAUUUGUUCAAAGCACAUGUGGAGGAGCGCCUACACGCCAGGCCCCAGGACCGCUGCGAGCGGACGCAGGUGCAUGGGACAGAGCUCCUGCUCCAUCUGGGGAAGAAGUGAGACAGAAAAGCGCCUGCCAAGUGCCGGGCACCGUGCUGAACACCUUGCGUCAUUCUUCAUUUUACUCUUUGCCAACCCCAUCAGGCAGGGAUGAUUCAUUUUAGAGGAAAACUGAGGCCCAGAAAGGACUGCCCAGAAGAUGAGAGCCAAAGCUCAAACCCAAGUCAGUCUGGCUCCGUGUUGCCUAUAAACAAAUAAGCAAGACACAAUUACAAAACAAAUCGGUUUUCACACUUUCUUUCUGGAGCCCCA